rnacentral:rRNA from 1 species
UACGUAGGGGGCAAGCGUUGUCCGGAAUCAUUGGGCGUAAAGCGCGCGUAGGCGGCCCGGUAAGUCCGCUGUGAAAGUCCAGGGCUCAACCCUGGAAAGCCGGUGGAUACUGCCGGGCUAGAGUCCGGAAGAGGCGAGUGGAAUUCCUGGUGUAGCGGUGGAAUGCGCAGAUAUCAGGAGGAACACCAAUAGCGAAGGCAGCUCGCUGGGACGGUAGCUGACGCUGAGGUGCGAAAGCGUGGGGAGCAAACAGG